CUUUCUAGUGUUUGCAAACCCGGAGUAGCAAUCUCCAUAUACGCUACGGCGCGGUUCUGUGCCAUGGAAGAGGCUAGGACAAGCGCUGGCCCUGCUUGGGUCGCAGGUCGUUCCGCUCACGUCGUCGUGGAUGUUCAGGGAUUGAAAAGGUUGUGGAGACCAUUCAAGGCAAUAUUCCAAAAGUGGAAUGGGAUUUUGAUGUGAUUUACUAUUUCGAUAAUGUCCCGCUCACCGUCCAGUACCUCUUUAUUCUUGAUGCUCUCAAUUUCUGCUUCUGGCCUGAAAAGGAUUUAAGCUAUGAUCAUUUGGCUUUGGGACUAAAGGAAGCUCUGGAAAACGACAUAUCUGAAUUUGAUGCUGAUCAACUGCAAAAAUACACUGAAAUCUAGGUUUCCAGAGGACCGGAACUGAGCAGAAGUACACCUUUGGCCAGAAAUGGUUUCUAAUUCCCCACUGCUGGGCUUUUCACCAUGCAAAUCGAGACGUUCUUAAUUUCUACUUGAACUCACGUAAUUGCAUGUGUGAGCUCUGUUAGGAAUAAUAAAUGUGAUAUGGAGAAUGGUCUUAAACCUGUUCCUUGGAGUACCCAAAUUUGGAGAGGUAGUCAAUGGCAUUCAGCACAGCACGCUUGUAAGCUACGGUUGCGUC